rnacentral:rRNA from 1 species
UACGUAGGGGGCAAGCGUUGUCCGGAAUCAUUGGGCGUAAAGCGCGUGUAGGCGGCUUCGUAAGUCCGUUGUGAAAGUCCAGGGCUCAACCCUGGAAUGCCGAUGGAUACUGCGGAGCUAGAGUCCGGAAGAGGCGAGUGGAAUUCCUGGUGUAGCGGUGGAAUGCGCAGAUAUCAGGAGGAACACCCAUAGCGAAGGCAGCUUGCUGGGACGUUACUGACGCUAAGGCGCGAAAGCGUGGGGAGCGAACAGG